UACGGAGGAGGCAAGCGUUAUCCGGAAUUAUUGGGCGUAAAGAGCGUGUAGGCGGCCUGACAAGUCUGCUGUGAAAACUCGAGGCUCAACCUCGAGAUGUCGGCGGAAACUGUCUGGCUAGAGUCCGGAAGAGGAGAGUGGAAUUCCUGGUGUAGCGGUGAAAUGCGCAGAUAUCAGGAAGAACACCUAUGGCGAAGGCAGCUCUCUGGGACGGUACUGACGCUGAGACGCGAAAGCGUGGGGAGCGAACAGG
rnacentral:rRNA from 1 species